AGUUUUCAAAGAAACAUCCCUUUUGUUUAUUGCGAUAUACUGAUUUGUUUUUAUUUAUAAUCCACCCUGUCAUACUCUUCAGUGAAUGUGGAACAUGGAAAAAGAGCCAGCUACUCACCAGCGAUGGGUGGACCCGCCGUCAUGGGAAGAGCCAUGAGGCCCAGCAGGUAUCCUAUGGCCUGUGAGGCCUUCAUGGGCCCAACCAACUCGAACGCUAUGGGCGCCAUCAUUGUGAGGAAGCAGCCGUCACACAAGCCCAGGAACACGCACACUACCGCCAGCGCCUCAAACGCAUGGCAUUGAGGAAUCAAAAUGGACAUCAGGCCAAGAGCGAUGAAGGACACCACCUGAAAAAUACAUGCUGAUGCAAGUCAAUGAGAGCAGAAUACAGAGACAACCACCUCCAGCUUUAAGAAGACCGACAUAUUAAAGUUGGAGUAACUGGUAAAAAGUCGGGCACAUUUAUGAAAUCCUG